AUGAUGUCCUUGGGGAUUUUCAGUAGCAGGAGAACAAAACAGCUGAACCAGCAGCCAGUAUUUGGCUCUCUGGGCUUUUUGCAGACGUGGGCACCACCAGUGCCAGCAGCAAAGGAUGGUGCCUCAUGCAGUUCACAAGAAGAAAGUGAGGUGUUGGUGCCAUGGAUCCACCCACUGAGAAGAGUCCCACCAGUGCAAGAGGACUGUAGUAUAGGCAGAAGUACCAGCUUGGCCACAGCUUCCACUGAAUGUUUUUUAUCCUCUGAGAGCUCUGUAAGAUUGGCAUUAUCCUGUAGCAGUGUCACAGCCUGCAGUCAUUUAAUGCCUCUUCUUGUGAGGCCGGGAUUCCACGCCCAAGUGCAUUUAGUAGGUCAGUACAGUAAUUUUAAAUGUCUUUCUUUCAGUCUUUUGCCAUCUUCAAUUAUACCUUUCCACCCUACUAUUUGUGUAAUUUUCUUCUGUCUGAAGUCUCUUUACUGUUGUUCUCUUUUGCACAGCAUGACAAAUUACCCAUCAAGCCGUAUCUUUUCAGCCCAGAAAUGCGCAGUAACACAGAGUCAUGGCAUUAUCACAUGUUGUGCACUUUAUUUCCUCACAGUUCAUUCAAGUGUGUCACUUUAUUUUCCUGCUUCCUUUUGUCAUCAUGAAGAUUAA
rnacentral:lncRNA from 1 species